GACAGCGUGGCCGAGCGGUCUAAGGCGCCAGACUCAAGUGUAAGCUUCCCUGUCAAGCAGGUCUGAGUGUUCUGGUCUUCUGGUCAUGGCGUGGGUUCGAAUCCCACCGCUGUCA
rfam:Trichuris suis scaffold51.3, whole genome shotgun sequence.